GCCAGCGUGGGAUAGUGGUUUGAGCAUUGGAUUAUGACUCUGGAGACCAGGGUUCAAGUCCCCCCUCAGCCA
rnacentral:tRNA from 1 species